rnacentral:miRNA from 1 species
GGGAAGUGGGAGAAGUUGCCAGGAUCAUCUAGAAGUUGCCAAUAUCAUCAUCUCUGGCUAAAAUGAUGGUAGAUAUGAGGAUUGUCUCAUCCUUUUAACUUUCUCCUCUCCUGCUCUGCUACUAGGUUCAAUACUUCAU